rnacentral:misc_RNA from 1 species
AACUUUCGACAAUGGAUCUCUUGGCUCUCGCAUCGAUGAAGAACGCAGCGAAAUGCGAUAAGUAAUGUGAAUUGCAGAAUUCAAUGAAUCAUCGAAUCUUUGAACGCACCUUGCGCCCUUUGGCUAUUCCGAAGGGCAUGCCUGUUUGAGUAUCAUUAACACCUCAACUCUCACGGUUUCUCGUUACGAGCUUGGAGUGGGGGGUUUUCUUGGCUGGUGGUCAGCGCUCCUCAAAUGAAUUAGCAUGCCGGUUUCUGGCGGCAUCAUGGGUGUGAUAACCAGCUGCGCUUGUGAUCGUCUGCGAGGUAAACCUCUGGUCUGCAGAGGUUCGCGGGAGCUUAUAGAUGUCUCUCCUCAGUGGAAAUAGUUGUUUGAAGUUCGAUCUCAAAUCAGGUAGGGCUACCCGAUGAACAUAAGCAUAUCAAUGAGCGGAGGCU